UCCCCCUCAGGUUUGCCGCAACCGCUGUUAAUGCGGAACAGUUUGUCCUGUACAUGUGAAUGAAUGAAAUCAGCUUUCACAUUCGCUGGGAAUGCAUCGAUGAUACAGCUAAACUUAAAUGUUUAAUGACAAUAAAUCAAUCGUCGAUUAGUAGAUUACGCUGUGAUAAGCACAUACAAAUUGAAACCAACAACAAAUGUAGCCCAAAGAGCUCAGUGACCUUGGUUUGAAACUAUAGGGUUUUCCUAGCAAAGAAUAUCAAUCAUUACUUGAAAGAAAUACCAUUAGUAAUACACAUUAUGAUAUAGAGUAGGACAAAGGUUUUUUUUUUACAAUACGUAUAAAGCACGUGUUUGAAUUUAAUAAUGGUUUUAGAAUAAGGCGAUGAUACUCUGCUCCAUUGUGCAACAUGAAGGGCUUUGUUGAAGCACGAGGAGCUUAUCAGGCAGCGCCGGUGUUCAUGCUAACGUUACCUAUCAGAAAAUGCUAACAACACUGUAUUUUUAAUAUUGUAUGAUUAGGUUAAGGGUAUGCUGAAACCUUUGGGGAUUAUUUUUUUUUAAAUAUAUAUAAUUUAUCGUGUUUAGGAGGAAGGAAGAAUAACGAAAUUCGUAAGAAAAGGAAAGAAGAACCAGGAACCAGGAAAUAAACUAUAUGAUUGCACAAACGCCCAGAAACUGACAAUAAGAAUAGAAUACGAUAAGAAUCGCAAAAAAUAAGGAAGUAGAAAAUGUGUCCACAACAAGUGACUUAAGACAAAGGUCAUUUAGUUGGGCUUUAAGGCUUAAAUGUUCAUAUUUAAAGAGCAUAUGCGUUUUUGUUAAGUCCAAAACAAUAUUGAAGAGGAAGUGACAUCCAAAAAGCUAAAUGUGCACUUCGCAGUCUGAUCACAAAGAAGAUUACUACAAUAAGCAAACAUAUAAUAAGGCAUGUGACCAGCAGGAUCAACAGGGACAGAAAUUAGCAUGAGCUUCACACCUUGUGAGUUGUUGGCAUUUUUGGUCAGGAAUUCUUCAGGUGCUGUGUCUGAACUGAGAGGGGGCUACACUUUGCAAUAGAAAGAAAAAGUGACUGCUGUAAGUGGUCUUAUUUUCUUGUGUGGUUCGAUCUUGCAGCGAGAGAAAACUUGCCACUGUGACACAUAAAGCAACAUUCUUGCACUGGAACAGGAAACAGUGGUGUUAAAACGUUACUCACACAGUUGUACACAUAUUAAACAGAUGUAGUUCUAAAUCAGGCUACAUGGAGGUGUAAAUAUUUUAGUCAUAUGUAAAAAUGACCCUAACGCCUAUUG